rnacentral:rRNA from 1 species
AUUGAACGCUGGCGGCAGGCCUAACACAUGCAAGUCGAGCGGAUGAAGGGAGCUUGCUCCUGGUUUCAGCGGCGGACGGGUGAGUAAUGCCUAGGAAUCUGCCUGGUAGUGGGGGAUAACGUCCGGAAACGGGCGCUAAUACCGCAUACGUCCUGAGGGAGAAAGUGGGGGAUCUUCGGACCUCACGCUAUCAGAUGAGCCUAGGUCGGAUUAGCUAGUUGGUGGGGUAAAGGCCUACCAAGGCGACGAUCCGUAACUGGUCUGAGAGGAUGAUCAGUCACACUGGAACUGAGACACGGUCCAGACUCCUACGGGAGGCAGCAGUGGGGAAUAUUGGACAAUGGGCGAAAGCCUGAUCCAGCCAUGCCGCGUGUGUGAAGAAGGUCUUCGGAUUGUAAAGCACUUUAAGUUGGGAGGAAGGGCAGUAGGUUAAUACCUUGCUGUUUUGACGUUACCAACAGAAUAAGCACCGGCUAACUUCGUG